rnacentral:misc_RNA from 1 species
GAACCCAACAGCUCUCCCCAUGAUGUGAUGACGUUGCAGCCAGAGUUGACCUUGAGCAUAUAGAAGUCUGUCAUCACCAAAGUUGUUGUCUCCUUUUGUAAGGACGUUAACUUCUCCAGUGUCUUUGCGCUCGUGAACCUUUAUUACUCUAUGAACAAUUGGAAUUUCACGUCCAUCAACAUUAAACACAACAAUUUCUCCCGCACGAAUAGGGUCCUUGCUCAUAUGCAAGAAAAGAAUGUCACCCCUUUUAAAGCCUGGUUCCAUACUUCCAGAGAGCACAACCACCACAGGUGACUCGCUGCCAGUUACACACAUCAAUGCUUUCCAUAUUAUAAGUGCUGACGUAACAAUCAUCCCAAGACUGAUUGCUUGAGUUACGAGUUGUCUGUACUGAAUUGACUUUAUCGAAUCGAUUUGCUCUCCGAUCCAUCCCAUUUUUGCGUCUCUCUGUUUUCUUCUCUGUUUCUCCUUUUGGUCUGAAAUCAA